AUUUUAUUUAUAAUCAUUAUAAAGUGUUUUGUCAUUUGCAUCAUUUUCAUUACAAUUUUUGCAAUAUUUUAUUUUCAGCAAUCUUUAAUGUAAUUGUGCUAAAAUGUGUGUUUUCAUUGGUCAAGUGACCUAUGUAUGUGCUGAUUGCUGGUAUGAACCAGUUAUUAAAAUAUCAAAAUACUUCAUUUUUUGUUUGAGUCAAUUUUAAUUCAUUAUGAUAUGCAAAUGUUCAUAAAAAACAUGAAC
rnacentral:lncRNA from 1 species